AUUGAACGCUGGCGGCAGGCCUAACACAUGCAAGUCGAACGAGUGGCGGGCGGGUGAGUAAUGUCUGGGAAACUGCCUGACGGAGGGGGAUAACUACUGGAAACGGUAGCUAAUACAGAAUACCAUCAGAGGUGCCCAGAUGGGAUUCGCGAGUUGGUGGGGUAACGGCGAACAAAGGCGACGAUCCCUAGCUGGUCUGAGGGGAUGACCAUCCAUACUGGAACUGAGACACGGUCCAGACUCCUACGUGAGGCAGCAGUGGGGAAUAUUGAGCAAUGGGCGCAAGCCUGAUGCAGCAAGGCCGCGUGUAUGAAGAAGGCCUUCGGGUUGUAAAGUACUUUCAGCGGUGAGGCGUUACCCGCAGAAGAAGCUCCGGCUAACUCCGUGCCAGCCGCCGCGGUAAUUC
rnacentral:rRNA from 1 species